rnacentral:sRNA from 1 species
CGGGGGGGGCGUCCCCGGGACUUAAGGCACA